rnacentral:rRNA from 1 species
UGGGGAAUAUUGCACAAUGGGCGCAAGCCUGAUGCAGCCAUGCCGCGUGUAUGAAGAAGGCCUUCGGGUUGUAAAGUACUUUCAGCGGGGAGGAAGGGAGUAAAGUUAAUACCUUUGCUCAUUGACGUUACCCGCAGAAGAAGCACCGGCUAACUCCGUGCCAGCAGCCGCGGUAAUACGGAGGGUGCAAGCGUUAAUCGGAAUUACUGGGCGUAAAGCGCACGCAGGCGGUUGAUUGAGUCAGAUGUGAAAUCCCCGGGCUCAACCUGGGAACUGCAUCUGAUACUGGCAAGCUUGAGUCUCGUAGAGGGGGGUAGAAUUCCAGGUGUAGCGAUGAAAUGCGUAGAGAUCUGGAGGAAUACCGGUGGCGAAGGCGGCCCCCUGGACGAAGACUGACGCUCAGGUGCGAAAGCGUGGGGAGCAAACAGG